rnacentral:rRNA from 1 species
AGAGUUUGAUCUUGGCUCAGGAUGAACGCUAGCGGCAGGCUUAAUACAUGCAAGUCGAGGGGCAGCACGGGUAGCAAUACUUGGUGGCGACCGGCGCACGGGUGCGUAACGCGUAUGCAACCUACCUAUAACUGGGGGAUAGCCCGAAGAAAUUCGGAUUAAUACCCCAUAGUCUUAUGAGAUGGCAUCAUCUUAUAAGUAAAACUCCGGUGGUUAUAGAUGGGCAUGCGUGACAUUAGCUAGUUGGUGAGGUAACGGCUCACCAAGGCGACGAUGUCUAGGGGAUCUGAGAGGAUUAACCCCCACACUGGUACUGAGACACGGACCAGACUCCUACGGGAGGCAGCAGUAAGGAAUAUUGGUCAAUGGAGGCAACUCUGAACCAGCCAUGCCGCGUGAAGGAUGAAGGCCCUAUGGGUCGUAAACUUCUUUUGAAUGGGAAAAAACCCUCUUACGUGUAAGAGGCUGAUGGUACCAUUAGAAUAAGGAUCGGCUAACUCCGUGCCAGCAGCCGCGGUAAUACGGAGGAUCCAAGCGUUAUCCGGAUUCAUUGGGUUUAAAGGGUGCGUAGGCGGCUUAUUAAGUCAGUGGUGAAAUCCCGAGGCUCAACUUCGGAACUGCCAUUGAUACUGAUGAGCUUGAGUGUAAAUGAAGUGGGCGGAAUGUGUCGUGUAGCGGUGAAAUGCUUAGAUAUGACACAGAACACCGAUUGCGAAGGCAGCUCACUAAACUACAACUGACGCUGAGGCACGAAAGCGUGGGGAUCAAACAGGAUUAGAUACCCUGGUAGUCCACGCCGUAAACGUUGAUAACUCGAUGUGUGCAAUAUACCGUACGCGUCCAAGCGAAAGCGAUAGGUUAUCCACCUGGGGAGUACGACCGCAAGGUUGAAACUCAAAAGAAUUGACGGGGGCCCGCACAAGCGGAGGAGCAUGUGGUUUAAUUCGAUGAUACGCGAGGAACCUUACCUGGGCUUGAAAGUUAGCGACCGACAUUGAAAGGUGUCUUCCCUUCGGGGCGCGAAACUAGGUGCUGCAUGGCUGUCGUCAGCUCGUGCCGUGAGGUGUUGGGUUAAGUCCCGCAACGAGCGCAACCCCUACUUUUAGUUGCCAGCGAGUAAUGUCGGGGACUCUAGAAGAACUGCCGGCGCAAGCCGUGAGGAAGGUGGGGAUGACGUCAAGUCAGCACGGCCCUUACGUCCAGGGCUACACACGUGCUACAAUGGCCACUACAAUGGGUUGCUACUUGGUAACAAGAUGCUAAUCUCUAAAGGUGGUCUCAGUUCGGAUUGGGGUCUGCAACUCGACCUCAUGAAGCUGGAUUCGCUAGUAAUCGAAAAUCAGCAAUGUUUCGGUGAAUACGUUCCCGGGCCUUGUACACACCGCCCGUCAAACCAUGAAAGCUGAGGGGACCUAAAGUCGAUAACCGCAAGGAGUCGCCUAGGGUAAAAUCAGUAAUUGGGGUUAAGUCGUAACAAGGUA